rnacentral:rRNA from 1 species
GACGAACGCUGGCGGCGUGCUUAACACAUGCAAGUCGAACGGAAAGGCCCUGCUUUUGUGGGGUGCUCGAGUGGCGAACGGGUGAGUAACACGUGAGUAACCUGCCCUUGACUUUGGGAUAACUUCAGGAAACUGGGGCUAAUACCGGAUAGGAGCUCCUGCUGCAUGGUGGGGGUUGGAAAGUUUCGGCGGUUGGGGAUGGACUCGCGGCUUAUCAGCUUGUUGGUGGGGUAGUGGCUUACCAAGGCUUUGACGGGUAGCCGGCCUGAGAGGGUGACCGGCCACAUUGGGACUGAGAUACGGCCCAGACUCCUACGGGAGGCAGCAGUGGGGAAUAUUGCACAAUGGGCGGAAGCCUGAUGCAGCAACGCCGCGUGCGGGAUGACGGCCUUCGGGUUGUAAACCGCUUUCGCUUGUGACGAAGCGUGAGUGACGGUAAUGGGUAAAGAAGCACCGACUAACUACGUG